rnacentral:rRNA from 1 species
UACGUAGGUGGCAAGCGUUGUCCGGAUUUACUGGGCGUAAAGAGCGCGCAGGCGGUCGUUCAAGUCGCGUGUGAAAGCCCCCGGCUCAACUGGGGAGGGUCACGCGAUACUGAUCGACUCGAAGGCAGGAGAGGUGAGUGGAAUUCCUGGUGUAGCGGUGAAAUGCGUAGAUAUCAGGAGGAACACCGGUGGUGUAGACGGCUCACUGGACCGUAACUGACGCUGAGACACGAAAGCGUGGGUAGCAAACAGG